UGACCCGAUGACCCGGUGACC
rnacentral:siRNA from 1 species